GCUUAUGUGUUGGGGGCGUGUUACAAAAAAGGCGGGAAUCUCCCUCGGCUCUACCCGCCGCCAUCUUUCCUUUGAGAGUUUUUUUUUUAUAAAAAAAAAAUUUACCUCAAGGCCCCAAAUUUAAAAUCUUAAAUUUUGUUUGAAAAUUUUUUUUCUAAUAAUUACUACUUAGAGGGGAGGUUUUUUUUUGUCUUGUUUACGUUGUUUGCUCGUUGUUUGAGAAGCGCGCGUGACGAGAGAAAAAUAAUAAUAAAUAAUAAUAAAUACCCGCCUGGCUUUGGACUGAAGGAAACGGAAUAACCAGCGGCAGGAGGAUAACAAGUUGACGAGGAGAGAGAACUAGCGAGUUGUGUGAGCAUCAGCACCAUCAUCAGCAUCAUCAUCAGCACCAUCAGCAGCAGACUGUCAGAGGCCCUCAGCGAUGUCUGAAGAGGCCACUCUAGAGGAGUGCAGUGACGAUGCAGCGCUGGUGGCAGGUCGCCUCGUCGCUCUGGGGAGGAGAAAUCUCCUCAUGGGGCUCACAGCAGAUGCAGUGGAGAACCUUCAGAGAGCCUGCGAGCUCCUGUACGUCACUAGUCACUCACUCAGUCACUCAG